UCUCUUUCUUCAUUCUUCUUCUUUUGUUCCCUGGAGAACCAUUAACAAUCGCCUUUGUAUUACCACCACUAUCAACGGCAACGUCAAAAACAACCAAAUCUCUUUCAAAAUCAAUAAACCAUCGAUUAGAUUUCAUACCUUACUUCAUGAAACAAGGUUCGGUAAACUUUGAGUUCUAGAUCUAGGUUUUUUAAUGGGUUUUCAAAGUUUUGAAGUUAAUGAUUUCCAGUGAAAUAGUGAUAGAUCGAGUGGCUUUUUGGAGAUGAUUAGUUAUUAUUGAAGGAAGAACACAAAUUUCAGAGAGGUUGAAUUUCUUUCUCCAUCAAGGGAGCUUAAUUAAAGAUCAUGGGUUUUGAGAGUUGGGAACUCUGUUUGAAACGUGAAAUUUUUUUGGAAGAAGAGGAGAAUGAGAAUUUCGACAGUGUAAUUAAGACGAAGAAGAUGAGGGGAAAGGGGGAAUUUAUGAGAUUAAUGGCUUAAGAAAAAAACAGAUUCAGAAGAUUCAGAUACAGGGUGGAGGGAGGAGAGAAAAGAGAAAAAUUGUGCUAGUGGAAGUACAAGUAGAAGAAGAAGCAGAAGAACACCACCUCCACAUUCUUUUUCUUGUUAUGCAGAAAGGGUUUCUAAGGAUGAGCGAAUAAAGAUGUCUGUGGAGACAUCAAAGAAGAACAAAGGGAAAGAUGAGGAGUUUUGAAGAUGUCACUAAUGUGUUGGUUUGACAUACAAAGGGGUGGUUGUUUGUUGCAAAAACUGUAAAGUUAAACACUAUUGUUUGACGUGCAUUCGUCGUUGGUAUCCUGGGCAUACAACUGAAGCGAUUGCAGAGUCUUUCCCAUUUUGUCAUGGAAGCUGUAAUUGCAAAACUAUGCUUGCGUUUUUGCAACAUGUCUAAGGAUUUGAAGAGCCAGAAAAUGAAGAUGGAGGCAGAAGAGAGACUUAAAUAUUGUCAAUAUUUGUUACAAGAUCUUUUACCAGUCUUAAAUCAAAUCCACCAAGAGCAAGCAAUGAAAAAGGAGCUCGAGGCGAAUAUUCAAGUUGAGUGUACGAGAUUGCAAUCGAGCUGUUGUACGUCUUCCUUCCUACACAAAGUCUAACCUAACUGCGAGAGGUUGAGUUUGCGUUUCUCAAAACUGUUUGUCAUCGCUUAAGGCAUGGUAUAGGAGAGGGAUGGCAAAUGCUUCUAUGGGAAACUACAAGGAUGCAAUCAAGGAUCUAGAUAUUGCCAUGAACAUGGAACUUUCCUCCGGUGGAAACAGUAAAAUAAAAGAGGAACUUGAGAUAAUUAAAAAACAGAGUCGCAGAGUAAAAAACUCACCUAAGAAGGCCAGCAAUAUGAAUUGUAACUCCAUUGAAACACAGAUGAUAGAUGAGAUUAAUGAGCAGAUUGAGAACAUGAAGCAGGUUCAGGGAGCGUUGUGAAACCCCAUUGGAGCAGCUACUGACUUUGAUGAGUUAACCUUUUGUAUUUUAUUUUUGUUAAGAUUAAAAUUAACCUUGACCGGAGAGUCAUAGUUAUCUUUGUUGGUUGUAGGAGGAAUUGGAAUAUGAACUCGAGGAGUUGGAAGGAGCUGAGUUGGAGGAACAACUUUUACAACCUGCAACCAUGGUAAUCAUGGUAAGACAUUGGCAAUCAUGUUAUGAUGAAAAAGCUUUGACGAAGAAGAUUUUGCACUCGUAGUUGCAGCUUCAGCACCUGCAACUCCACCACCUACAAUUCAGACAGUUCACAGUUGAUACGUCAAAAGUUCCAGCUGGAGUGAUCAAAGCUUAACCAAAUGAUGAAAGCUUAAGGGAUCGAAUGGUUGGCUCCAGUUGGGAUUCUGAUACUAUGCGGUGGAAGAUCUUUCGAGGGGUUCCCGUCGGUGUUUCUCCGGCAACUUGAGAUGUUGGAAGGACAAGAGGGCUUAUACCCCUGAAAUGAUAUUCAAGCAAGAGGUUCUACCAUUAAAUGGCAGCCAUUAGCUCCCUUUGUAGCUGCAAGUUUUGAGUAAGUUUCUGCUUGUAGUGAUUUAGAGAAUGAACUGAACUUAGGAACUUAGUAGGUUUCUAUGAAUUUCCUCAGAAUUUGAUACUUUACAAUAACAAAUCUUUUUGGUACUUAAUAGAAUUUUUAUUCUUUUUGAAUUUGUAUUCUUCUUUGAAUUGAUUGAAUGUUGAUAUGAUU